CCGUUAGAGCCUUGCCCGGCGAAAUCAGUCCAUUUAACGACGCGACUGUGGUCUCGUUGACACUGCCAAAACGGCGACUUGGUGCGGUUUAGACGGCGGCCGUUCAACUUGUUUGCUGGCACACGUGUCGCCGGUGCGCGCCAAGGUGUCGUGCGUAGGCCACGUGUGUGCCUGUAAAAGGCCUUCCUUUUCGUCAGUCCGAGUGUCCGUUCACGCCAAUUUAGAGCGACACGUCCCAGACAAAUUCAACGCACAGAAACGAAUCGUCAAGACUAGGCGGUCAAUAAUGUUUCUUUAAAGUCCCAAAAUCAUGCACUCAACAAACGCACACAAUGCCAUUGUGUGUCGGUGUGCAUUUUUUAAACUUUUUACACGUCCUCGGAUAUUUAGACUCGGGUAUCGUCAGACGGUUCCCCGCGUAUGCACUUUACUUUAUUCGUAUUAGUCUACCAAUCGCGUACGACAGCAACAGAACUUUGUCGUCCGACCAUAGAACCACACGAGGAUGUUAUUAAUUCAUUAUGAAAUCCAUACAGGUUUUUAAUGUUUUUCUAGAAUUCGUUUUGGUAAUCCACUUAGAAGUGUGAAAAAUUGUAUAACAUGGAACUUACCAACAUUAUUUUUUACAAUUUUUAACGGACAACUUGAUUAUAUGGAAUAUAUUACCAAGACGUGUCUCUUGGAUCAUUACGUAUUAUUGGAGGGGAACAAUUAACAGAGCAAAUUAUACAGUACAUUAUUUAGAAUAAGCAAAUGACUAGUGUGCAGUACUUCCAGAUGAUUGUUUUAUUACAAUUCAUCUAGUUUAUAGUUGAAAGAAUAGCGGAAGCUUUUCAUGGUGUUCAAAGCUAAAAACGGCAAAGACGUUACUGUUAAUCGUUAUGGAAGCUGUGACUCGCUACAAAGAUAAUAAUAAUCUUCGGCAAGGCGCCAUCGCCGAGAAUUCCAGUGAUAAUGCACUCGUUAGUCAACAGUACUUUCUACGCUAUUGAAUACACAGUCGACCGUAGACAUUAUAUAAAAUGUAAAUUUAUUCAUAAAAAACUAGAAAUAAUUAUUACGAUCGUACGAGCCUCGUAAUAGCAUGGGAUGCCGCUAGAAUAAUAAAAUUAAUUAAUUAAUCGCGAAUUGUUAUAAGAACUCGGGUCUAGCAGACUCAUUAUGAUAGUAAUAUAUCGUCUAUAAAACCAUUAAAAAUAAAACCAACAAGCUGAGAGGACCGAAUUAUUUAUUUUGAGGUUGAUUACAUUAGUUAACACGGAUAACUCUUAUUUCGAUUUUACCUACUACCUUAUUAAACUCAUUAUGUCUUUAGUGCUGUCUGAACUCUUCUUCAUUACUCGUGUGAAUAUUAUUAUCCGUAUAAUAUUUCCUCGGCAUUUUAUUAUAGAUUAUUUUAUAUUAUAUAUAUUGUGUUACUCUCAACACAAUCUCUUCGACAUUAUUUCAUUCUGUUAUUAGUAGUAUUAUUA